rnacentral:rRNA from 1 species
GAUGAACGCUAGCGGCAGGCCUAAUACAUGCAAGUCGAGCGGCAAGUCGAGGAGUAAUCUAAGACCUAGAGCGGCGCACGGGUGCGUAACGCGUAUGCAACCUACCUUAUACUGGGGGAUAGCCCGGAGAAAUCUGGAUUAAUACCCCAUGGCACAUAUUGAUGGCAUCUGAGAUAUGUUAAAGAUUUAUUGGUAUAAGAUGGGCAUGCGUCUGAUUAGCUAGUUGGCGGUGUAACGGACCACCAAGGCGACGAUCAGUAGGGGUUCUGAGAGGAAGGUCCCCCACACUGGCACUGAGAUACGGGCCAGACUCCUACGGGAGGCAGCAGUAGGGAAUAUUGGGCAAUGGUCGGAAGACUGACCCAGCCAUGCCGCGUGCAGGAAGACGGCCCUCUGGGUUGUAAACUGCUUUAUCUGGGAAGAAAAAGGCCAUGCGUGGCAAAAUUGCCGGUACCAGAUGAAUAAGCACCGG